GCUCCUACCGAUUGAAUAAAGAGGUGAAAUUCUAAGAGUCAGAUAAGUAGUUAUUUGACAAAUGGAUUUAAAUCUCCUUAUUUAGAGGAAGGAGAAGUCGUAA
rnacentral:rRNA from 1 species